rnacentral:rRNA from 1 species
UACGAAGGGUGCAAGCGUUACUCGGAAUUACUGGGCGUAAAGCGUGCGUAGGUGGUUCGUUAAGUCUGAUGUGAAAGCCCUGGGCUCAACCUGGGAAUUGCAUUGGAUACUGGCGGGCUAGAGUACGGUAGAGGGUGGCGGAAUUCCUGGUGUAGCAGUGAAAUGCGUAGAUAUCAGGAGGAAUAUCCGUGGCGAAGGCGGCCACCUGGACCAGUACUGACACUGAGGCACGAAAGCGUGGGGAGCAAACAGGAUUAGAUACCCGUGUA